rnacentral:rRNA from 1 species
CCUACGGGAGGCAGCAGUAGGGAAUAUUGCGCAAUGGGGGAAACCCUGACGCAGCAACGCCGCGUGGAUGAAGAAGGUUUUCGGAUUGUAAACUUCUGUUGUUAGAGAAGAUAAUGGCGGUAUGUAACGAAUAAGCACCUGCCAAUUCCGUGCCAGCAGCCGCGGUAAUACGGCGGGCCCAAGCGUUACUCGGAAUCACUGGGCGUAAAGUGCGCGUAGGUGGGAUGGCAAGUCAGAUGUGAAAUCCUAUGGCUGAACCAGAGAAGUGCAUUGGAAACUGGGAUGCUAGAGUAUGGGAGAGGAAGGUGGAAUUCUAGGUGUAGCGGUGAAAUGCGUAGAUAUAAAGAGGAACACUCAUGGCGAAGGCGACCUGCUAGACUAUAACUGACGCUGAGGCGCGAAAGCGUGGGGAGCAAACAGGAUUAGAUACCCCAGUAGUC